rnacentral:rRNA from 1 species
AUGAACGCUGGCGGCGUGCCUAAUACAUGCAAGUCGCGCGAACGGACGAGAAGCUUGCUUCUCUGAUGUUAGCGGCGGACGGGUGAGUAACACGUGGAUAACCUACCUAUAAGACUGGGAUAACUUCGGGAAACCGGAGCUAAUAACGGAUGAUAUUUUGAACCGCAUGGUUCAAAAGUGAAAGACGGUCUUGCUGUCACUUAUAGAUGGAUCCGCGCUGCAUUAGCUAGUUGGUAAGGUAACGGCUUACCAAGGCAACGAUGCAUAGCCGACCUGAGAGGGUGAUCGGCCACACUGGAACUGAGACACGGUCCAGACUCCUACGGGAGGCAGCAGUAGGGAAUCUUCCGCAAUGGGCGAAAGCCUGACGGAGCAACGCCGCGUGAGUGAUGAAGGUCUUCGGAUCGUAAAACUCUGUUAUUAGGGAAGAACAUAUGUGUAAGUAACUGUGCACAUCUUGACGGUACCUAAUCAGAAAGCCACGGCUAACUACGUG